rnacentral:lncRNA from 1 species
UGGUGAGAGAGUGAGAAGCGAUGGCCCAGACAGCCACCCACUGGAGUGGAAGCCAGCAUGGCAGGCAGGAUGGGGCCUCAGUAUGACAAGCAUAUAACAACCUUGGACUGUUGGAUCCUGCCAGCCACCUGGAGGGCCUCAGGGAAAGACUUGGGACCCUACCCGGUGUCAACGGAAGGACUUUUGCCUGCAGGUUUACAGUAAUUGGUUUACAACUGGGCUAGAAGAAAAAUAAAAUGAAACAAAAUGUUCCUGAGUAUCCUGCACUACCUAAGGAGACCACAACAUUUCCAUGCUGCACUAAAGACACAUCUUCCAAGGUCAAGGGUUUCUCUGUUUACCUUUGGAGCCUAUCCUGGCACUCGCUCUGGAGACCGGGCUGGCCUCGAACUGAGAUCUGCCUGCCUCUACCUCCCGAGAGCUGGGAUUAAAGGUGUGAGCCACCAACGCCCGGCACAGGAGAUGCUCUUGUAUGAGGGAAAAACAAACAAGCAAACUGAGACAAGACAGAUCUACCCAGUGUGUUAGAAGAGCGGGAGUGACCUUUAGGCAAUUAAGCCUGAUUCCAGGAAACGUGCUGGGACUCAAACAGUUCACAGAGGAAUUGAAGCCUGAGUGCAGCCUAGGCUCAUGGAGGACCAGGGAAGGCAUUUCUGGGCUCUGGGGCAUCCCUGAUCCAGGACGAGUGUGUGUGAGGCGGUGCCAGGCCCUCAAGCCUGCCUCUCACCUUAGCUUCGCCUGUGAAUGUCCUCUUAGACCCCAGCACAAAGGCAUAAGCCACGCCCAGUGGGGAAAGCACAGCAUACUCUCUACAGAGCAGGAUCGGACUUUCCAACUGCACAGCCUACAGCCCUUGAGAUAGCUAGAAACAGGCCAGCCUCGGAUUGUCUGGAGGGGCACGCCUACAAGCACCGGAGAGGAUUUUCUCGCCUCUCUAGAGUCUGGGUAAGGAGAAAGUAUUGCUUGUUUAGAGGAAUUUGACCUUAAGACUUCACAGAAAAAGAAGAUGCAAGGAGGUCGUCAGAAAAAGAAAUGCCCUUUUAGAUUUUUUACUAUCAGUUCUGAAAGGGGCCGAGCCAAAGCGCGCUAGGGGAGCAGUAAUUUGAAUUUAUUUUUCUCCCGGGAAUCAGCUCAGUUGCACUGUUCUUCAUCAUGCUAAGGUCUUACCUCAGAUAAAAAUAUCGUGGCUCUGAAAAUAAAACUUGGGGGCAAGAGAGGUUGGGGACCUAGAAGGAUUAUGGUUUUAAAACUCCAAAGCCUUUUCCUUUUAAGCACAAAUUCCAAUUAACAUUUAAAGACCACUCCAAUACAAUCCUUCCAAAACCAAACCCGGAGAGACAGCCCAAUGCAGCAAGAGAUAUACCCAUUGGCGGUCCAAAAGGGAUUAGAAGCAAGAGCAAGAAAAAUCCCUGUAGUAACAAACUGUAUCGGCGCCUUCACCUUUAAGCCCCAGUGAGACACUCCUGGCUAGAAAAUGGCAAUGCUGAAGACAGAGACACCAUCUGAGCAUCAAUAAUAAAACAUUGCUUCCCAUUUCUCCCUGCAUUUGUCAAGGUAGUACUUGGACACACAUCACCUCGACACCGGCCCCGGGUCUCAGGCUUAAGGAUGCCCUGAUACCAUCUCAGAACAUGUUUCUGCUUUGAUAUUCUAUAGCGCUCAGAUACCGGCGACGCAUCUACAUAAAUCAGCAGAGAAAGGAUUCCAUUACCAGCGACGGCCACAUCCCAUUCAGUGAUUGAAAAGCGCAACUCUGUUUUCCAAUGUGCACUCCGAGAUGGAAGUGUCAUCGUGUGGAAUGAAAUGGCAUGGAUUACAGGCCUGGUACCUAUAUGCUUAUGAGUCCCUGUUUGCAGCAAGCCCGACUCUGCCCGGAUUUCUAAAUUGGUUUUUGAACUCCUGCCUGUAACGUUGACAGGCACAAUGUAUUUAUUCAAGGAGAGCUCUGUAGAGGGGAAGCAGGUGACCCACAGAUUGUACCAUAACUUUCCCCAAACUGCCGUUCAUUAAACAUGUUCCGUCUCAUGAACCAUGAAG